CGCGGGGCACCUGGCGACGAGUGGCGAACGGGUGAGUAAAGCAUCGGAACGUGCCCAGUAGUGGGGGAUAGCCCGGCGAAAGCCGGAUUAAUACCGCAUACGACCUAAGGGUGAAAGGGGGGGAUCGCAAGACCUCUCGCUAUUGGAGCGGCCGAUGUCAGAUUAGCUAGUUGGUGGGGUAAAGGCCUACCAAGGCGACGAUCUGUAGCUGGUCUGAGAGGACGACCAGCCACACUGGGACUGAGACACGGCCCAGACUCCUACGGGAGGCAGCAGUGGGGAAUUUUGGACAAUGGACGCAAGUCUGAUCCAGCCAUGCCGCGUGCGGGAAGAAGGCCUUCGGGUUGUAAACCGCUUUUGUCAGGGAAGAAAUCUUCUGGGCUAAUAACUCGGGAGGAUGACGGUACCUGAAGAAUAAGCACCGGCUAACUACGUGCCAGCAGCCGCGGUAAUACGUAGGGUGCAAGCGUUAAUCGGAAUUACUGGGCGUAAAGCGUGCGCAGGCGGUUAUGCAAGACAGAUGUGAAAUCCCCGGGCUCAACCUGGGAACUGCAUUUGUGACUGCAUAGCUGGAGUGCGGCAGAGG
rnacentral:rRNA from 1 species